rnacentral:rRNA from 1 species
GACGAACGCUGGCGGCGUGCUUAACACAUGCAAGUCGAACGAUGAAGCCGGAGCUUGCUCCGGUGGAUUAGUGGCGAACGGGUGAGUAACACGUGAGCAAUCUGCCCUUGGCUCUGGGAUAACUGCGGGAAACUGUAGCUAAUACCGGAUACGACACCUUGGGGCAUCCCAGGGUGUGGAAAGAAUUUCGGCCAAGGAUGAGCUCGCGGCCUAUCAGCUAGUUGGUGAGGUAAUGGCUCACCAAGGCGACGACGGGUAGCCGGCCUGAGAGGGUGACCGGCCACACUGGAACUGCGACACGGUCCAGACUCCUACGGGAGGCAGCAGUGGGGAAUAUUGCACAAUGGGCGAAAGCCUGAUGCAGCAACGCCGCGUGAGGGAUGAAGGCCUUCGGGUUGUAAACCUCUUUUAGCAGGGAAGAAGCGAAAGUGACGGUACCUGCAGAAAAAGCACCGGCUAACUACGUGCCAGCCGCCGCGGUAA